CUACGGAGGGUGCAAGCGUUGUUCGGAAUCACUGGGCGUAAAGGGCGCGCAGGCGGUUUGGUAAGUCAGAUGUGAAAGCCCACGGCUCAACCGUGGAAGUGCAUUUGAAACUGCCAGACUUGAGUACCAGAGGGGAAAGUGGAAUUCCCGGUGUGGAGGUGAAAUUCGUAGAUAUCGGGAGGAAUACCGGUGGCGAAGGCGACUUUCUGGCUGGAUACUGACGCUGAGGCGCGAAAGCGUGGGGAGCAAACAGGAUUAGAUACCCUAGUAGUCC
rnacentral:rRNA from 1 species